CCCUUAGAUGUUCUGGGCUGCACGCGUGCUACACUGAUACUUUCAGCGAGUCCACCACCUUGCCUGGGAGGGUGGGGUAACCUCUGGAAAGUGCAUCGUGAUGGGGAUCGAUUAUUGUAAUUAUUAAUCUUCAACGAGGAAUUCCUAGUAAGCAUGUGUCAUCAGCCCGUGCUGAUUACGUCCCUGCCCUUUGUACACACCGCCCGUCGCUCCUACCGAUUGAGUGAUCCAGUGAAUUAUUCGGACUGUAACGCAUUCAGUUCUGGAUGCAGUUACGGGAAGUUUUGUGAACCUUACCACUUAGAGGAAGGAGAAGUCGUAACA
rnacentral:rRNA from 1 species